AGCGAACGCUGGCGGCAGGCCUAACACAUGCAAGUCGAGCGCUCGUAGCAAUACGAGAGCGGCAGACGGGAGAGUAACACGUGGGAACGUACCCUUUGGUUCGGAACAACACAGGGAAACUUGUGCUAAUACCGAAUAAGCCCUUACGGGGAAAGAUUUAUCGCCGAAGGAUCGGCCCGCGUCUGAUUAGCUAGUUGGUGGGGUAAUGGCUCACCAAGGCGACGAUCAGUAGCUGGCUGAGAGGAUGACCAGCCUCAUUGGGACUGAGACACGGCCCAAACUCCUACGGGAGGCAGCAGUGGGGAAUAUUGGACAAUGGGCGCAAGCCUGAUCCAGCCAUGCCGCGUGGAUGAUGAAGCCUUAGGGUUGUAAAGGCUCUUUCGCGAGGGAAGAAAAGGUACAGGUUAAUAACCUGUGCUCAUGACGGUACCUUGAUAAGAAGCACCGGCUAACUACGUGCCAGCCGCCGCCGUAA
rnacentral:rRNA from 1 species